GCUUGGGGAAGCCUCUCUCUUUCAGUGCCAACACCCAGACCUCCAGGCCCAUCGCGCUGCAUGAGGGAAGUGAAGACCUUCCCUGAGGUGGCUGCAGCCAGCGUUCUGCAGAAUGGAUGGUUUGUUGGCCCUUCGCAGAGACCUCCCUCCAGGGCUCCAGACCCUGCUCCUCCUUGUCUGGCCAUCGAGGGGGGCUCUGACCCCCCACCUCCAUGGGAGAGCAGGAACCUCGCUCCAGUAGGGACUCCGCGAGGUUUGCUGUCAGAGGGGCUGUGUGUUUGCAUAGCUCGUGUCACCACCCCCAGCCAGACUUCCCGGUGGAGGCUGGCCUGGCUUCCUGACGACGAUCUGCUGAGUCAGGUGUUGAAUGGGAACCUGCUUGUGAAAAGAUUCCUGGAAUGAGUCAGCACAUGUUGGACAUGUGAGAAAAGAAGCCUUUGUGGAGGCGGGAGACCCACACCCCAGCACACACACAAGCUCCUGGAGGGGUCUUGGGCCCAGAGAGCGGCACCUGGAAUGCUAAAGGGGCACCCGAAAGUGACGUUGGACCUGCGCCCCCGACGGCGACCGGCAACGCAGGGAGGAAGCGGGACCGCCCCCCGCCCCCUGCGGACUGCAGCCGGGUGCGUGCGCGCGCCGCGGGGCAGCGGGAAGGGGAGGGGCCGGCUCAGAGCCACCCACCCGCGGGGAGCCAGAUGAGCCGAGAGGCUGUCGCCUCCAACCCCGGGGACCACUGAGGGUCUUGGGAGGGCCAGGGCCCGGCUGAGGACCAGGCCCACCCUCCUGCCUGGGUAUGUCCGUUCGCCUGGGAGGAGACCCCCGCAUGGAGGCCCUCUGAGUCUUCGUCUGAAUGCAGAGACUCAGGCACCGCCAGCCCCGGCACAGACCUUCGGUGGGCCAGAGCCCAGGAGACAGUCCUUGGAUGAAGGGGCUCCUUGUAGGGCCCUCUGCCAAACUCCCACGGAGGAUCUGCUCCAACACUGCCUUCUCCAAGAGGCAAGUGUUAACGACAGGCAGACAGACAGUGACAUACUGUCUGACCUUUUACAAAGGUGCCGGAGCAAGCCAACAAAAAAAGGGAAGUCUUUUCAGCAAAUGAUGCUGCAAUAACCAGACAUCCACAUGGAAAAAAUGAACCCUAAUGUCACAUCAUGCACAGAACUUAACUUGUGACACACGGUAGAUUUAAAUGUGAAAGCUAGAAUUGUAAAGUUUAGAGAAAAACAAAGGAAAAUAUCUUCUUGACUUAGUGACAGAGGCUUCAGAGGUCUCAGAAACCAAAAACCAGAAAAGAAUAGAGAAUUCAGAACUCACUGCGAUGUGAAAUGUCUGUUCAUGAAAAGACACAGUUAAGACAGCCAAUCAGCAAGCCACAUUAUGGGAGAAAAUAUUUGCAAAACUAAUACCUGACAAGGACUGGUCUCCAGACUAAACAAAGAGAUACCACUGCUUCAAAAUAAAAAGUCAAACAACCCACUUGGAAAACUCCGUCCUAGUUCACUUUUGCUUUUUUGACCACGUUUGGAUAAGGGCCAGCCAAAGCAAGGACAUGAAUACAACUGUCUUUUAAAGAAUCAAGUCCAUGGCUUGGUGUUUGUCACCAGUGCACCUCAAUGAGGAAAGCCACCCCACCCAAGAGAGUACAUUGGGAGCUGUCAUUAACUGAAGGACAUAAAACAGAAGCAUCCAGAUUAAGCUAGUGUAUUACAUCUUGGGCAGAAAUUGGAAUAUGUGCUUUUUCAGAUGUAACAUUUUAAUUGCCUACAUGAGAGAAAGUUACAUAAAAUGUACACUAACCUCAUUACUAUUCAGUUAUCAGAUAUUGUCCCUGCAACAUGACUGAAGCUGGCAGAGUGAGGGGUGCCUGCCCAGAAUUACCAGAAGUGUGAAAGUCAUCUUUGGCAACAUGAUUUGCAACACAGAGGUUUACGUGUUCCCAUUAAUUAGACCAACUACACUUUUGCUAUCUUAAUCAAGGGUUUAAACGCAGGGAGGGGUAUUUGAAAAUUCCUGUUCCAUGUAAUAGUUCAGUUUACAUGCCCUUGUGGAAGUUACCUGUGACAGUACAUUUCUAAUAAAAUACCACUGUUAGCAAAAUUUUUUUUAAGUUAAAACAACCAAUUUUUUAAAAUUGACAAAAGAUUUGUUCUCAAAAAAGAAAAAAAAAAAAGUGCUUAGUGUCGUUCAUCCUCACGACAGUGCAGAUUAAAACCACAGUGAGAUACCACUUCACGUCUGUUAGAAUGGCAACAAUUUUUUUUAAGUGCUGAUGAGGAUGAAGAGAAAUUGUAACCCUCAUAGGCUGUUGGUUGCAUGCAAACUGAAAGCCCCAGUGGAAGAUCUGUCAGCUUUUGGUGAAGCUAAACGGUGCUACCCUUUGUCCCAGUCCUGGAUGUCUGCCCAGAGAAAUAAAUACAUAUGUCCACGCAACGACUUCAAAAAGCAUGUUCACAGCAGUUUUAUUCACGAUAGCCAAAAACUGGAGUCAGCCCAAGUUUGUCAAUAGGGCGGAUGAACACCGAUGUGUCUAGUGGGGUGCUACUUAGCGAGAUCAAAAUGACAAACUACUGGUGCACGAAACAACACAGAUGAGUCUCAGAAGCAUAAUAACUGAAGAAGCUUUACAGAAGAGUGUGUACUCUGUGAUUCAUUUACAUGACGCCUACAACAGGCAAAACUACAGUGGAGAACAUCAGAACAGUGGGUACGUCUGGUCAUUAGGGUGGACAUGAAAUGGGAAGGGCGGGGGGCACCCUGUGGGGUGAUGGACGCGUCUGUCUGGAUAGCAUCUUGGCUCACACAGCGACAUGUCUUCGCUAAAGCUCAGCAAAGGUAUGAUUAGGAUUUAUGUACUUCAUUGUAAAUUUAACAUUAAAAAUCUGUAAACAAGUACUACACGCAAA